GACGAACGCUGGCGGCGUGCCUAAUACAUGCAAGUAGAACGCACAGUUUAUACCGUAGCUUGCUCCACCAUAGACUGUGAGUUGCGAACGGGUGAGUAACGCGUAGGUAACCUGCCUGGUAGCGGGGGAUAACUAUUGGAAACGAUAGCUAAUACCGCAUAAUAUUAAUUAUUGCACGAUAAUUAAUUGAAAGGUGCAAUUGCACCACUACCAGAUGGACCUGCGUUGUAUUAGCUAGUAGGUGAGGUAACGGCUCACCUAGGCGACGAUACAUAGCCGACCUGAGAGGGUGAUCGGCCACACUGGGACUGAGACACGGCCCAGACUCCUACGGGAGGCAGCAGUAGGGAAUCUUCGGCAAUGGACGAAAGUCUGACCGAGCAACGCCGCGUGAGUGAAGAAGGUUGUCGGAUCGUAAAGCUCGGUUGUAAGAGAAGAACGGGUGUGAGAGUGGAAAGUUCACAAUGUGACGGUAUCUUACCAGAAAGGGACGGCUAACUACGUG
rnacentral:rRNA from 1 species